rnacentral:tRNA from 1 species
GCUGUGUGGUCUAGUGGUAUGAUUCUCGCUUAGGGUGCGAGAGGUCCCGAGUUCAAUUCUCGGCACAGCCCUCG